GUGAGACUGUGAAUUCUUCAAAAGCAGGUACUGUGUUUAAUGAAGUGUGCCCAGGACUUUGCUCAGUGACUGGAUGACACAGUAGGAGUAACAAGAAAGUUCACAUGGGUGAACCGUGGUAGGUGGACAUCGUCUCUCUCACCUCUUCCCAAAUCAAGGAUGAAGUACAUCUUCAUAAAUCCUCAUGUGAAUUAUUUUGCUACCUCUAGAAGCAUUUUCUAAAACAAGGUGCAGCAAUCAGUUGAGUGAAUUUGUCACCAGAGCUUAUGUUUUCUGAAAGAACCCUAUCCUCAGGCAGUUGUUCCUAAGAGCCUUUUCCUUUCCCUUGAAGAUUCCACAAAUAUGUCAGCGCUGGAAAUGAUCCUUUGGCUUUGAACUAUGUGAAGACUGCAGAAGGACUGGUUGGUCAGGCUGCAUUUGUAUCCUGGGUCCACAAGACAUCGUUUCCUUAAAACCAAUCCCCCUGAUUUUGCUAAGUGUCUGCAAGCCUAAUAUUUCAUGGAUGUUUGACAAGGACCCCGUCUUUAGCUGAACUAAGGAGAAAGUCCUGCAACACACACAUGGAGCUCAGCAAACGGAGGAUGUAGACCCCACUGGAAAUCGGACUGUUCAACUCACCUGGCAGCCACUCACAGAGCCCGUGGAACUCUGGCCCAAGGCUCUCUGACUCCUUCUCGGCUUAGCGGCUAAAGACUGACACUGCCCGAUCGCCUCGGAAGCCCCGUAGACCAUCACGGACGCCGAGCUUUAGAUGAAGAAACUGAGGUCCAGAGAAGUUAAACGACCUUCCUAAGAUUACACAGCUUAGUAAGUGGCAGAACCACAGCUGGAAGCCAGGUCCUUCCUCACGCAAGUCCUGGCUCAUUCAUUCCUCUUCCAAAGACUUGCUGAGCACCUUCUAGGUGCCAGAUGCGGUGCUGGCUCCUGGGGACAUGGGAGUGAACAGGCCAGGCGUGGCCCUGAACCAUCAAAUAGACAACCACAGAAAUAACAACAACAAAGACAAAACCGGGCCCUUCCACACAGUAGCUGGAACACAAAGGAAGAUCAGCCAAGCCUCAACAUAAUCUCAUAAAAAUUCUUCAAAUAUCCCAUUGUUAUGGAUUCAUACAUCAGGAAAGCAGAUGCCAAGAACCUGAACACCUUCUACUGGUAACAUAUAUUUUGGCGAGCCAGCCUGGAGACAAGCUACUCCUAGUAGCUCCCGGUUAAUUGAGGACAGCUGGCCGGGGCCACUCUCGGGUGCCUUCUGAAGGCCAAGAAACGAAAAGGGAUGGCUGCCCUGCCCAGAAGGGGGAAGGACUUUUUUCUAUCUCUCCGACCACUAUGGGCAACUUCCUGUCUAUUCUACCUGGUGUCACUGUGGACAACUUCCUAUCUAUUCCACCCGAUUCACCGCUUGGCUACAUCCUCCACCAUUGGGAUGAAUUUGACCCUAACAAUCUAAAGAAAAGGCAUAUGAUUUUUUACUGCAAUAUUGUUUGACACAAUUAUGAGCUGCCCAAUCCGGAACAAUGGGCAGUCAAUGGUAGCCUUAAUUAUGAUACCAUCCUGUAUCUAGACCUAUUUUACAAGAGGCAGGGCAAAUGGUCAGAAGUCCCACAUAUACAGGCCUACAUGACCCUAUACGAAGACCUAAGAAUCUAGGAAACUCCCAGAACCCAUCCCCCGAAGGAAAGUUCUGGGGCAGAACUAGAUAUUAUAGAUGAACCCCCUUUUACAAGGGAUACCUGUCUCUCAGAGUGAGCAGUGACUGUCCCCAUAUAACCCCUCACCAAGUGCUCCUGAGGCUGAAACCCAGGGGCAAACAUGGGGAACCCUACUAAGUCCCCCUCACACUUGGAGGGGAACACUGUAUUCAACUCUCUAUCCAGCCCUGCUACUCUCAGAGAAAUAGCAGGGGCUGAGGGGCCAAUCCUAGUGUGGGUCCCCUUCUCUAUGAUUGAUAUACAACAAUGUAAGGAAAAGCUAGGAAGCUAUUCUGAGGAUUCCGGGAAGUUUGCAGAUGGGUUCCAAACUUUGACCUUAGCCUUUGAUCUCUCAUGGAGAGACGUUCAAUUCACUCUAGCAACCUGUUGCACCUCCUCGGAAAAGGAACGAAUCUUUGAGGCUGCCCUCCGAGAAGUGGACGAAUUAUUCACCCAAAACCGUAAAGGCAGUCACCCAGGCCCAGCCACAGUUCCCACUACGCAUCCUAAUUGAGACCAAGACACCCCCGCAGGAAGGAACAACUGGGCUAAAUUUCUUGAGGCUCUUGGAGGAAUGAGAAAGGGAAUAACUAAGGCAGUAAAUUAUGAUAAAGUAAGGCAGAUUACACAAGGCAGGGAGGAAAACCCAGCUGUGUUUUACGGCAGGCUGCGGGAAGCCUUUAAAAAAUAUAUACUAAUUUGGUCCCUUCCUCUCCUGAAGGCAAGUUAUUAAUGGCACAACGUUUCAUUAGCCAAUCCACACCAGACAUUAGACGUAAGCUCCAAAAGCUACACAUGGGGCCACAAACUAACCAAAAUCAGCUUCUUGGUACUGCCUUCAUGGUGUAUAACAAUCGUGACCUGGAGGAAGGAGAAGGGAAACAGAGUAAAGAAAAACGGCAAGCCAAAAUUAUGUUAGCCAUCACUGGUGAUGCCCUAAAUGCACAAAGAUUGUCCAAGGGAAACUCAAAGGGCCAUAAGGAUAAUGCCAGCAAAGGCUCUUGCUUCAAAUGCAAUAAAAGUGCGAUUGGGCACAGGAAUCCACUAAGCCCCCGCCAGUCCCCUGCCGUCAAUGUAAAAGCACCAGUUGUGGCUCCUGGCCCUGGAGAAUUGACUGUCCCUGCUCCCACCAAGGGGCUCAGUCAGUCAAAACUCUGGCAGUGCACAAGGAGGAAUCAGAUGAAGACUGAAGGGGCCUGGGGCCUUCCUCACUGCCCCGUCUAGGAACAUUGUAAUUACUACUGAGGAACCCUGGGUAACUCUGGACAUCAUGGCCACCCAAAUUCAGUUUUUAUGUGAUACCAAGGUGAAUUAUUCUGUACAACUGCUUAUGCAGGAAAACUUUCCUCCCGGUCCAUGAGUGAUAUUGGAUGGAAGGGAAGCCACAAACAAGAUUCUUACUCCUCCUUUGGUUUGUCAAUUUGAGAAACAAAUCUUCCAACAGGAAUUUUUAGUAGUACCAAGCUGCCCAAUUCCCCUGUGGGAAAGAGAUAUUAUGGUGAAAAUAGUGACACUACUGCAAUUUAAGCAAUAUUAGCAGGUGAAACUGCUAAUAGUAAGAAAUAAGGCAAUGUCCCAGACCAUGUCAAUAAACAGGUUAACCCACUGGCAUGGUAUACUGGAAACCCAGGGAAGGCUAAAACAGCAGUGCCAGUCAAAAUACAGCUUAAAGACCCCAGCCAUUUUCCCAAUGGAAAACAAUACCCAGUUGAACAGGAAGCAAGCAAAGGUCUAGCUCCCAUAGUUGAGAUAUUACUUACCCAUGGACUCUUAAAACCCUGCAAUUCUCCCUGCAAUACCCCCAUCUUACCUGUUCUCAAGCCUGGGGGGAAUACCAGCUAGUACAGAACCUCAGAAUAAUGAAUGAGGCUGUUAUCCCCGUCCACCCAUUGGUGGCAGAUCCAUAUGCCCUCCUGGCUCAGGUGCCAGGGCAUGCAAAAUGGUUCUCAGUCCUAGACCUUUCUUCUCCAUUCCUCUGGCCCCGAGCCCCCCAGUACCUUUUUGCUUUCGAAUGGGAAAAUCCUAAUACCAGAUAAAAACAAUACACUUGGACAGUGCUUCCUCAGGGCUUUCGGGAUAGCCCCCACUUCUUUGCCUGAGCAUUAGAGCGGGAUCUGAGGGAUUUCAAGUUAGAAAAUGGAGGUAUUCUUCAGUAUGGGGAUGACCUUGUGUGUAGCCCAACCUAGGAGGUUUCUGACCAAAAUACUAUAAAAACUUUGAAUUUCCUGGCAGACAGAGGAUACAAAGUGUCCAAAAAGAAGGCUCAGAUUACCCUCCAAUGGGUCCACUAUUUAGGAUAUGUCUUAACACCCGGAACCCGGCAAAUAUCCCCAGAAGGAGUGCAAGCUAUAUGUGGUUUGGCCGCGUGCACCACCCCCAGCCCCCACCCUGACCCACCUCCAAGCAGCAGCUUUGUUCCUUUUUGGGGAUGGCCGGGCUUUGGAGAAUAUGAGUACCAAAUUUUGGGCUCAUAGCAAAGCCCCUAUAUGAAGCAACAAGGGGGCCUGAAAAUGAGCUAAUGGAAUGGACCCCGGAAAUGAGGAAAGCCUUUGCCAAGUUAAAACAGGUUCUCACCCAGGCUCCUGCUCUUGGUAUCCCAGACCUAAUUAAGGCCUUCUCCUUGUAUGUAGCAGAGAAGAGGGGCAUAGCUGUGGGAGUGCUAGCCCAGAAAUUAGGAUCAGAACCCAGACCAACCGCCUACUUCUCAAAAAAGUUGGACGGAGUGGCCUCAGGAUGGCCAAGUUGCCUGCGGGCAAUAGCAGCCACUGCUGUUAGUGGAGGAAGCCACUAAAAUCACCCUAGGGCAACCACUGGAAGUUCUAACGCUCCAUCAGGUAAAGUUAGUCUUAGAAAUAAAGGGACACAUCUGGAUGACAGGGGAAAUGUUAACUAAAUACCAGCCCAUGCUCCUAGACAAUCCAGAUAUAACUCUUAAAACCUGCAACACUUUAAAUCCAGCUUCAUUGCUGCCCACAGGCCCAAUAAUUGAUCAUUCCUGUGAGCAGGUCAUUGCACAUACAUAUGUUAGCCAGCCUGAUUUAAAAGAUGAGGCUCUCCCAGAUUCUGAAGCUGACCGGCUCACAGACGGCAGUAGUUCUUUGUCGAAUGGGGAGCACAGAGCUGGAUAUGCAGCAGUAAAUCAUGACACAAUUAUUGAAGCCCAGCCAGUGCCCCCUGGCACAUCAGCACAAAAGGCUAAAAUCAUUGAUCUUACUCAAGCAUUAAUGUUGGGACAAGGGAAAAAACUUAACAUCUAUACAGAUUCUAAAUAUGCAUUCCUUGUGGUUCAUGCUCAUACCGCCAUCAGGAAAGAAAGGGGAUUACUUACUAGCAAGCACUCCCCUAUAGAGCAUGGACCUGAAAUUCUGCAGCUAUUGAAGGCAAUACACCUGCCAAAGGCCAUAGCUAUCAUUCAUUGUAGGGGGCAUCAAAGGGACUUAACCCCUAUAGCACAAGGGAAUGGAAAGGCUGACGGAAGCCAAAGCAAAAGCCCUCAGCGUGCAAUCCCAACAGAUCCUAGCACUGCUUCCUUUCUACAAUUCCCCAGUAGAACCCAAAUACACACCACAGGAAGAACAGCUAAUAAAAAAAGCAAGGGAGACAAAAACAAGGAUCCUGGUGGCAUAUGGAGCCAAAAAUAUAUCUCCCUCAGGCAGCCCAGUGGAGAGUUAUAAAAGCCCUGCAUGACUCUUUCCAUGUGGGGAGGGAUGCGGCUCUGGCCAUGGUAAACAAGUUCUUUACUGGGUUUAACUCAGCUUCAAUGGCUAAGCAGGUCUGUCAAGCCUGCUCACUGUGUGCAUUUAACAAUCCAGGCAUCAAAAUGCCCCCUCUAAUAAAACCAGUCCAAAGGAGGGGAACUUAUCCAGGGGAAGACUGGCAGUUAGACGUCAUCCAUAUGCCAGCUUGCAGAGGAUACAAGCUUUUGUUAAUACUAAUAGAUACUUUUAGGUUGGGUCAAAGGUUACCCCAGAAAAGGCUAAUGAGGUUCUAAGGUCCUCUUAAAAGAAAUAAUUCCCCAGUUUGGGUUACCUCAGGGUCUCCAAAGUGAUAAUGGCUAAUCCUUUAUCUCCCAAAUAACUCAAGGGGUUGCUAAGGCUCUUGGAAUAAAAUACUAUUUACAUUCAGCCUGGAGGCCCCAAUCCUCUGGAAAAGUGGAAAGGGUUAACCAAACUCUAAAAUAAGCACUAGCUAAACUAUGUCAGGAAACAUCAGAAACUUGGGUUAGCUUAUUGCUCACAGCCCUUUUAAGAAUUUGUAAUACCCCUAGCUCAAAAAUUAACAGAAGCCCAUAUAAAAUGUUAUACAGAAGGCCAUUCUUAACUAAUGAUUUAAUUAUUGACCCAGAAAGAGUUGGUGUAAUUAAAUACCUAGUCAACCCAGAACAAUUCCAGCGGGUUUACAAGAGUUUGGAAUUCAAAGGCUCCUCACACUUGGAACUAACCAGCAACCCAAAAUCAGGCCAGGAGAUAGGGUACUUGUUAAAACAUGGAAUGAGGGAUCACCUGCCCAACAAUUACAACCCCAAUAGAAGGGACUUUUUUCAGUAAUACUGGCCACGUCUUCUGUGGUCAAAGUACUAGUAUUAGAUAGCUGGAUACAUCUUUCAAGGAUCAAACCAUCAAUACCAGAAGCUCCAGACCAGGAACCUGAAGUUCCCAUCAGCCAGUACACCUGUGAACCAGUGGAGGACCUGAAGUACCUGUUUAAAAGAUAGCCAAAAGAUAAGUAAAUGCCUACCAACUUUCUUUGGUGUCUUUGUUGCAUAGUUACUGUGGGCUGGAAAAUAGUAGCCAUUUUUAUCUUUGCAGUUUAAUUGCCUUCUUCCAAAUAGAUAAAAAUCACUUCCUUUGUAAUAAUUAAACAGAAUUUAAAAAAUACAUUUCUAUGACAAAUAUUCCUGAUGGCAUAAGUAUCCACCCCAAGGUUCCCAUUAAAUCUUUUAACCUAAAGUAUUUCCUCUCACCUAGAGAUCAUCGAGCUGUGUGACAAGGGUGCCAGCCACUCCAGGUGAAGACACCACCCCAGGCCAUCAAGGAUCUUCCCUACCUUCACUAAACAGAGCAGGGUGAAAGUUGUGUGAUCCCCAAUAGGUAGGGACUACACCCCAAGUCAGCAGGAAGCAGUUACAGAAGAAAGACCAUUGGUCCCUCUGCUUCCCAUAAAGAUUUAUGGGGAUCACAGCUUUCACGGGGGAGAUGAGGCAAGAGAAUAGGGCAUGCAGGCAGGGUACUUGAGGCCAAUCCACGCUGACUUCCUAGAACUGAAUUAAAUGAAAGCUCCUCAGCAAUGACAGGAAUGUGAAUGGCUUUGUAACUUCUUCCUCUCCAUUAAUGCUAUUUCCACUUUGUAACUUCACUUUCAUCCUCUCCAUUUACAUAGAUCACACACCAAGUAACAUCCUCUCCAUUUACAGUAGGGCGCAUUCCGAGUCAAUGACUCUGACUGCACUUCGUUCUCCUCAUUUACAUAGAACAUUCGCCAAGUAACCAAUGGGAAACCUCUAGAGUAUUGAAACUCCAGAAAAUUCCGUAAGUGGGGCUCUUGAGCGUCUACACUCGGGUCGCUCCCACACUGUGGCGUGUACUUUUAUUCUCAAUAAAUUCCCGCUUUUGCUUUCCUCGUUC
rnacentral:lncRNA from 1 species